rnacentral:rRNA from 1 species
AUGAACGCUGGCGGCGUGCCUAAUACAUGCAAGUCGAGCGAACAGAUGAGGAGCUUGCUCCUCUGACGUUAGCGGCGGACGGGUGAGUAACACGUGGAUAACCUACCUAUAAGACUGGGGUAACUUCGGGAAACCGGAGCUAAUACCGGAUAAUAUAUUGAACCGCAUGGUUCAAUAGUGAAAGACGGUUUUGCUGUCACUUAUAGAUGGAUCCGCGCCGCAUUAGCUAGUUGGUAAGGUAACGGCUUACCAAGGCAACGAUGCGUAGCCGACCUGAGAGGGUGAUCGGCCACACUGGAACUGAGACACGGUCCAGACUCCUACGGGAGGCAGCAGUAGGGAAUCUUCCGCAAUGGGCGAAAGCCUGACGGAGCAACGCCGCGUGAGUGAUGAAGGUCUUCGGAUCGUAAAACUCUGUUAUUAGGGAAGAACAAAUGUGUAAGUAACUAUGCACGUCUUGACGGUACCUAAUCAGAAAGCCACGGCUAACUACGUG